rnacentral:rRNA from 1 species
UACGUAGGCAGCGAGCGUUGUUCGGAAUUACUGGGCGUAAAGCGUGCGCAGGCGGUUUUGUAAGCCAGAUGUGAAAUCCCCGGGCUUAACCUGGGAAUGGCAUUUGGGACUGCAAGGCUUGAGUGCGGCAGAGGAGACUGGAAUUCCUGGUGUAGCAGUGAAAUGCGUAGAUAUCAGGAGGAACACCGAUGGCGAAGGCAGGUCUCUGGGCUGACACUGACGCUCAUGCACGAAAGCGUGGGGAGCAACAAGG